CAUGCAAGUCGAACGGUGAAGCCAAGCUUGCUUGGUGGAUCAGUGGCGAACGGGUGAGUAACACGUGAGCAACCUGCCCUGGACUCUGGGAUAAGCGCUGGAAACGGCGUCUAAUACUGGAUAUGAGCUCCUAUCGCAUGGUGGGGGUUGGAAAGAUUUUUUGGUCUGGGAUGGGCUCGCGGCCUAUCAGCUUGUUGGUGAGGUAAUGGCUCACCAAGGCGUCGACGGGUAGCCGGCCUGAGAGGGUGACCGGCCACACUGGGACUGAGACACGGCCCAGACUCCUACGGGAGGCAGCAGUGGGGAAUAUUGCACAAUGGGCGAAAGCCUGAUGCAGCAACGCCGCGUGAGGGAUGACGGCCUUCGGGUUGUAAACCUCUUUUAGCAGGGAAGAAGCGAAAGUGACGGUACCUGCAGAAAAAGCGCCGGCUAACUACGUGCCACCAGCCGCGUAAUACGUAGGGCGCAAGCGUUAUCAGGAAAUAUUGGGCGUAAAGAGCUCGUAGGCGGUUUGUCGCGUCUGCUGUGAAAUCCCGAGGCUCAACCUCGGGCCUGCAGUGGGUACGGGCAGACUAGAGUGCGGUAGGGGAGAUUGGAAUUCCUGGUGUAGCGGUGGAAUGCGCAGAUAUCAGGAGGAACACCGAUGGCGAAGGCAGAUCUCUGGGCCGUAACUGACGCUGAGGAGCGAAAGGGUGGGGAGCAAACAGGCUUAGAUACCCUGGUAGUCCACCCCGUAAACGUUGGGAACUAGUUGUGGGGACCAUUCCACGGUUUCCGUGACGCAGCUAACGCAUUAAGUUCCCCGCCUGGGGAGUACGGCCGCAAGGCUAAAACUCAAAGGAAUUGACGGGGACCCGCACAAGCGGCGGAGCAUGCGGAUUAAUUCGAUGCAACGCGAAGAACCUUACCAAGGCUUGACAUAUACGAGAACGGGCCAGAAAUGGUCAACUCUUUGGACACUCGUAAACAGGUGGUGCAUGGUUGUCGUCAGCUCGUGUCGUGAGAUGUUGGGUUAAGUCCCGCAACGAGCGCAACCCUCGUUCUAUGUUGCCAGCACGUAAUGGUGGGAACUCAUGGGAUACUGCCGGGGUCAACUCGGAGGAAGGUGGGGAUGACGUCAAAUCAUCAUGCCCCUUAUGUCUUGGGCUUCACGCAUGCUACAAUGGCCGGUACAAAGGGCUGCAAUACCGUGAGGUGGAGCGAAUCCCAAAAAGCCGGUCCCAGUUCGGAUUGAGGUCUGCAACUCGACCUCAUGAAGUCGGAGUCGCUAGUAAUCGCAGAUCAGCAACGCUGCGGUGAAUACGUUCCCGGGUCUUGUACACACCGCCCGUCAAGUCAUGAAAGUCGGUAACACCUGAAGCCGGUGGCCCAACCCUUGUGGAGGGAGCCGUCGAAGGUGGGAUCGGUAAUUAGGACUAAGUCGUAACAAG
rnacentral:rRNA from 1 species